CAGUCGCCGCGGUAAUACGUAGGUGGCAAGCGUUGUCCGGAAUUAUUGGGCGUAAAGGGCUCGCAGGCGGUUUCUUAAGUCUGAUGUGAAGGCCCCCGGCUCAACCGGGGAGGGUCAUUGGAAACUGGGAAACUUGAGUGCAGAAGAGGAGAGUGGAAUUCCACGUGUAGCGGUGAAAUGCGUAGAGAUGUGGAGGAACACCAGUGGCGAAGGCGACUCUCUGGUCUGUAACUGACGCUGAGGAGCGAAAGCGUGGGGAGCGAACAGGAUUAGAUACCCCCGUAGUCCCUGUCUCUUAUUC
rnacentral:rRNA from 1 species